CAGAUCUGAGAAUGGAUCCAGGGCCUCACAUGUAGCAGGAUGAUACCUCUUGGGGGAAAGGUGUUUACCUGCACCAUCCACCAGAGAGUAGGACAAAGGAAGACUCGGUGUCUUAAUGGUUUGGUGGAGUGGCAGGAAAAGCCCUCAAAGGACCAGAGGUGACGAUGGCUCAAGACUGAAGGAAGACUGGGGAAGACUGAGAUGAAGAUCGGUGAAGGAAGCACAAAUGUAGUGCAAGAAACAGAAGAUCCCACACAGCUGCCAUGAAGCUGAGAGGCAGAGGCAAAGCCUUACCUGGAGCCUAGGGUCCGGACUGGACUGUAGCCCUGCCAUGCCUG
rnacentral:lncRNA from 1 species